GGAAGGAUCGGCGAGGAGGAGGUGCAAGAACUGUAGUAAAAUUUGAUGAAAGGAACUUUAGGUAGAGACGUCGUUUCUCCUGGAAGAAUUGGUCGAAGGUGGAGAAAUUGAGGCGAAAUUUGCUAAAACGAACGUCGGCAGGAGAAGAAGCACAACGUUCUACUAAAAUUCGAAACGAACAACGACAAGCUAAUGGCACUUUCGUCGCAAACAACGAACUUGUUAUCGGUAUAAUAGUAAAUGAAGGAUACAACGACAAGGAAAUGAGAUAUGUAAAACUAUAUGGAAUCAUCGGUGUACCUGUGAAUAUGCACAGGGUGUCUCGCGUAUAACAAACA